rnacentral:tmRNA from 1 species
GGGGACGUUCCGGAUUCGACAGGGGCUGUUUGAGCAUUUUAAGCGUGUCGGAGGUUUCGGCUCCGUCAUAAACGAUACUCAGUUUAAUAACUGGCAAACAAAACAAUUUCGCAGUAGCUGCCUAAGAGCACUCUGCAUCAUCCCAUGGGCAUUCCUGCGGCCCAUGACGAUGAUUCAACCUUAGCGGGAUACGCACUGGGUCUGCCGUCUUAAGACCCAAUGCGGAAACCAAUAAGACUAGCAUGGAUGUCAAGGUCUGUUCAUUACCUUUAUCCAUGCGAAAUUGAAAAAUGAACUACACACGUAGAAAGAAAUGUGUCAAAGUCUCUGGACGCGGGUUCAACUCCCGCCGUCUCCAUAC